rnacentral:rRNA from 1 species
GGCGAGUGACGGGCAGGCGGGCGCGGUAACAGGUAGGGGACGGGCGGUGUCCGGAUUAAUUGGGCGUGAGGCGCCCGUAGGCGGGUCGGAAAGUCGGUCGUGAAAGGCCGGGGCGCAACCCCGGGACCGCGUCCGAUACGCUCGAGCUGGAGGCAGGUAGGGGAGAUCGGAAUUCCUGGUGUAGCGGUGAAAUGCGCAGAUAUCAGGAGGAACACCGGUGGCGAAGGCGGAUCUCUGGGCCUUGCCUGACGCUGAGGCGCGAAAGCUAGGGGAGCGAACAGGAUUAGAUACCCGGUAGUC